rnacentral:rRNA from 1 species
GAUGAACGCUGGCGGCGUGCCUAACACAUGCAAGUCGAGCGGCAGCGAGGGGUGCUUGCACCCUGUCGGCGAGCGGCGGACGGCUGAGUAACGCGUGGGAACGUGCCCCAAAGUGAGGAAUAACUGCCCGAAAGGGUAGCUAAUACCGCAUAUUAUCUUCGGAUCAAAGGAUUUAUCCGCUUUGGGAGCGGCUCGCGUCGGAUUAGGUAGUUGGUGAGGUAAUGGCUCACCAAGCCGACGAUCCGUAGCUGGUCUGAGAGGAUGACCAGCCAGACUGGAACUGAGACACGGUCCAGACUCCUACGGGAGGCAGCAGUGCGGAAUCUUCCACAAUGGGCGAAAGCCUGAUGGGGCAACGCCGCGUGCAGGACGAAGGCCUUCGGGUUGUAAACUGCUUUUAUAAGUGAGGAAUAUGACGGUAACUUAUGAAUAAGGAUCGGCUAACUACGUG